rnacentral:rRNA from 1 species
CUGGUUGAUCCUGCCGGAGAUUAUCGCUGUUAGAGUUCCACUAACCCAUGCGAGUUCCUGGGUAAAACCAGAGCAAACGGCUGAGUAACACGUAGUUAACAUACCUUUGGGUGGAGAAUAACCUCGGGAAACUGAGACUAAUACUCCAUAGGCAAUAGCGCCUGGAAUGGUUUAUUGCCGAAAGCUUCGGCGCCCAAAGAUUGGACUGCGGUGGAUUAGGUUGAUGUCAGGGUAACGACCUGACAUGCCGAUAAUCCGUAGGGGCCAUGAAAGUGGUAGCCUCCAGAUGGAUUCUGAGACACGAAUCCAGGCCCUAUGGGGCGCAGCAGGGGGGAAAACUCCGCAAUGCACGAAAGUGUGACGGGGGAACUCUAAGUGCCAGCACACAGUGUUGGCUUUUCACUAGUCCAAAUCGCUAGUGGAAUAAGUGGGGGGUAAGACCGUUGCCAGCCGCCGCGGUAAUAACGGCUCCACAAGUGAUAGUCACGUAUAUUGGGUCUAAAGCAUUCGUAGCCGGCCUGUUAAGUCUUCUGUGAAAUCUGGCGGAAAACCGUCAGGCGUGCAGGAGAUACUGACGGGCUUGGGACUGGAAGGGGCUAGGGGUACUUUUGGGGUAGGGGUAAAAUUUCGCAAAGCAAGCUUUGCAUCAUCGUAAAUCGCUUCGCGAAUUACGAUCCUGUAAUCCCAAAGGGACCACCUGUGGCGAAGGCGCCUAGCUAGAACGGAUCCGACGGUGAGGAAUGAAAGCGUGGGGAGCAAAGGGGAUUAGAUAUGGGAAGAUGCGCGAAUGUUGUGUAUACUUAGAUACAAAAUCGCGUUUUCUCACUAAACACCCCCGUAGUCCACGCUGUAAACGAUGCCCGCUUGGUAUUGGAAAUUCCUAGUGUUUUUCCAGUGCCGUAGGGAAGCCAUUGAGCGGGCCACCUGGGAAGUACAGUCGCAAGGCUGAAGCUUAAAGGAAUUGGCGGGGGAGCACACAAGGGGUGCGGUUUGCGGUUCAAUUGGAUUCAACGCCGGGAACCUCACACAGGGGUGACAGCAGUAUGAUGGUCAGUCUAACGGGCUUACCUGACGCGCUGAGAGGUAUUGCAUGGCCGUCGUCAGCUCGUGCCGCGAGAGCUUUUACUAAGUCUUUCUUAAGAAAGGCUCCGGUAAAGGUGUCCUGUUAACAGGUUUUGAAAAUCUUAAACAGAUUUUCAAACUUUUUUGGCUUUCAAAAGCCAAAAAAUCGUGGUGCUAUGAGAUGAUUUUGUAUCGCCAUGUCGAAGCUUCGAUCAACCCUAAGUGUUAUUGCAAGAAAAAAUUAACGGUAUGCGAGAGAGUUUGCGUAAUACCCGUAAGGGUUUGGAUUAAUUAUCGAAGCUCUGAUUUUGAAACUCGAAAGAGUUUCAAUGCUUGGAAAUUCGCAAGAAUUUCUAAGACCUGACAGAUAGUCAGGUAACGAGCGAGACCCACGCCGUAUGUUGCCACAUGCUUCUUCGGAGGCAAGGCACUCAUACGGGACUGCCCGUGCUAAAUGGGAGGAAGGAGUGGUCAACGGUAGGUCAGUAUGGUCCGAAUCCCCUGGGCUACACGCGGGCGCCAAUGGCAAGGACAAUAGGUUGCAACGCCGAAAGGCGAAGCUAAUCCCUGAACCCUUGUCCCAGUACAGAUUGAGGGUUGCAACUCACCCUCAUGACGCCGGAAUCCCUAGUAGGCGAAAGUUAGCAUCUUUCGUCGAAUACGUCCCUGCUCCUUGCACACAC